rnacentral:snRNA from 1 species
AUACUUACCUGGCAGGGGAGAUACCAUGAUCACGAAGGUGGUUUUCCCAGGGCGAGGCUUAUCCAUUGCACUCCGGAUGUGCUGACCCCUGCGAUUUCCCCAAAUGUGGGAAACUCGACUGCAUAAUUUGUGGUAGUGGGGGACUGCGUUCGCGCUUUCCNNNN